AAACGGCGGCCGUAACUAUAACGGUCCUAAGGUAGCGAAAUUCCUUGUCGGGUAAGUUCCGACCUGCACGAAUGGCGUAAUGAUGGCCACGCUGUCUCCACCCGAGACUCAGUGAAAUUGAAAUCGCCGUGAAGAUGCGGUGUACCCGCGGCUAGACGGAAAGACCCCGUGAACCUUUACUAUAGCUUCACACUGGACGCUGAUGUUGCUUGUGUAGGAUAGCUGGGAGGCUUGGAAACCCGGACGCCAGUUCGGGUGGAGCCAACCUUGAAAUACCAGCCUGGCAUCAUUGGCGUUCUAACUCAGGUCCGUGAUCCGGAUCGAGGACAGUGUGUGGUGGGUAGUUUGACUGGGGCGGUCUCCUCCCAAAGAGUAACGGAGGAGCACGAAGGUACCCUCAGCACGGUCGGAAAUCGUGCGAUGAGUGCAAGAGCAUAAGGGUGCUUGACUGCGAGACAGACACGUCGAGCAGGUACGAAAGUAGGUUCUAGUGAUCCGGUGGUUCUGUAUGGAAGGGCCAUCGCUCAACGGAUAAAAGGUACUCCGGGGAUAACAGGCUGAUACCGCCCAAGAGUUCACAUCGACGGCGGUGUUUGGCACCUCGAUGUCGGCUCAUCACAUCCUGGGGCUGAAGUCGGUCCCAAGGGUAUGGCUGUUCGCCAUUUAAAGUGGUACGCGAGCUGGGUUUAGAACGUCGUGAGACAGUUCGGUCCCUAUCUGCCGUGGGCGUUGGAGAUUUGAGAAGAGCUGCUCCUAGUACGAGAGGACCGGAGUGGACGCACCUCUGGUGUUCCGGUUGUCACGCCAGUGGCAUUGCCGGGUAGCUACGUGCGGACGGGAUAACCGCUGAAGGCAUCUAAGCGGGAAGCCCCCUUCAAGAUGAGAUCUCCCCGAGGCCUCGAGCCUCCUGAAGGGCCCAGCGAGACCAGCUGGUUGAUAGGCCGGGUGUGGAAGCGCUGCAAGGCGUUGAGCUAACCGGUACUAAUGGCCCGUGAGGCUUGACCAUAUAACCCCAAGGGGU
rnacentral:rRNA from 1 species